rnacentral:rRNA from 1 species
AACGAACGCUGGCGGCAUGCCUAACACAUGCAAGUCGAACGAGACCUUCGGGUGUGGUGGCGCAGGGGUACGUAACGCGUGGGAACCUGCCCUUAGCCUCGGGAUAACUCCUCGCAAGGGGUGCUAACACCGGAUAAUGUCUUACGACCACAGAUCUAUGGCCUUUGGAUGGGUCUGCGUUGGUUUAGCUAGUUGGUGGGGUAAAGGCCUACAAAGGCGUUGAUCCGUAGCAGGGCUGAGAGGAUGACAUGCGACAUUGGGACUGAGACACUGUCAAGACACCGACGGGUGGCUGCAGUCGAGAAUCUUCGGCAAUGGGCGCAAGCCUGACCGAGCGACGCCGCGUGUGGGAUGAAGGCCUGCGGGUUGUAAACCACUGUCAGAGGGGAUGAAAUGCAGGUGGGUUCUCCCAUCUGUUUGACAUAGCCUCAGAGGAAGGACGGGCUAAGUUCGUG